rnacentral:lncRNA from 13 species
GUCUCUCGUUCUCCCACACUCUGUCUGUCACUCUCUCUCUCUCUCUGUCACUUUCUCUUUCUCUCAAGGCAGCAAGGCACAUUUAGGAGCCGAAGGCAAUUAGCGCCCUGCAAUAAUAAUUAGGCGAAAUACUGCAAAGGAGGAAGAGCGAAGUGGAGGCCUUUAUGCAGACAGCUGAUAAGCAGUAAAUAGAAGAAGACUUCAAUGGCCUCGCAUCAUGCAUCCACUACAUAGAACAUAUGUAAGAACAUACACAAGCAUGACCUGAGGGAAUCAGCUGAUGGCCACCUUGCCAUUGGUGACUGGUGCACUCAUCUUUAGACUUUAGAAUCAAAGUCUUUAAGUAAUUAACACAUUUCCUAUGACUGUGGAAUUGUGAGUAUCACAGUGUUUGCUUGCUUGUUUGUUAUAGACAGCUGUCUAAUCUUUUUUUUUCCCUCGUAAUUUCCGUGUCUGUUGUGUAUGAUGCAUCUUCUCUCAUGUCAGCUUGUAGUGUCAAACAGUAUGUUCAACAGUAUAGUCAUUGUUUCCAUUGCUAUUUAUACACUGUUGUCCAUCAAUAACAGCACCGGAAUUUCAAAUGUUGUUUUGAUUCCAUUGAAUGCAAUGUACUUUCACCCUUCAAAAUCAGUCAUUUCACAUCUUCCCCUCUCACAGGUUUGUAUCGCCAUGGCAUCAGCCUGGAUUACAAUGUUUGCUACGCUGCUGCUGGCAUUUGUGAAUGGAGCGAAAGAUAGGUUCACACAUCUCCAUCUGUGCGGGUACACACUUCCACCCCUGUGGUGGCCUUGGGGUCACCGGUGA